AUUGAACGCUGGCGGCAGGCCUAACACAUGCAAGUCGAACGAGUGGCGGACGGGUGAGUAAUGUCUGGGAAACUGCCCGAUGGAGGGGGAUAACUACUGGAAACGGUAGCUAAUACCGCAUACCAUCGGAUGUGCCCAGAUGGGAUUAGCUAGUAGGUGGGGUAAAGGCUUACCUAGGCGACGAUCCCUAGCUGGUCUGAGAGGAUGACCAGCCACACUGGAACUGGGACACGGGCCAGACUCCUAAGGGAGGCAGCAGGUGGGAAUAUUGCACCAUGGGCUGAAGCCUGAUUCAGCCAUGCCGCGUGUAUGAAGAAGGGCCUCGGGUUGUAAAGUACUUUCAGCGGGGAGGCGUUACCCGCAGAAGAAGCACCGGCUAACUCCGUGCCAGCAGCCGCGGUAAUAC
rnacentral:rRNA from 1 species